AGGGGCUUUUUUGAAUUUCUGCAUAGAAGAUGCUCAUCGCAGAGUGAAAGCCAGGAGGGCUUUUUCUGGUUAAGGCGUCCACUUUGGCUGAGGGAUAUGUACAGACCUCUCAAUGCCACACGCAAGAAAAACAUGGCCCAGAAGCUUCACGACAAGGAGUCUUCUGAUGAGGAAGAGAUUUACAAGAAGGAUGCAGGCGAGCCCAUAUCAACAGCAACACCUGUGGAUUCGGCUGCUGAAGGUGGUGAGGAAAAUGAGACAGUGCCAGAGGGGGAGGACGAAGAGUGAUCCAGCCUACCUAAGGCCGCCUGCAAACUGUAUUUUCUAAUGUUGGCAUCUCAGCAUUGCUUGUAAGAUACUUAUUUUUCACACACAAAAAAUGUAUACAAUCUAUUGUCAAUUCCAGCCAGCUGGUAAGAAACUUAAACCCUUAAUAUAUAUGCCACUCCCUUGAUUAAAGCAGCC